rnacentral:rRNA from 1 species
AUUGAACGCUGGCGGCAUGCCUUACACAUGCAAGUCGAACGGCAGCACGGGGGCAACCCUGGUGGCGAGUGGCGAACGGGUGAGUAAUACAUCGGAGCGUGUCCUGUAGUGGGGGAUAGCCCGGCGAAAGCCGGAUUAAUACCGCAUACGCUCUACGGAGGAAAGGGGGGGAUCUUAGGACCUCCCGCUACAGGGGCGGCCGAUGGCAGAUUAGCUAGUUGGUGGGGUAAAGGCCUACCAAGGCGACGAUCUGUAGCUGGUCUGAGAGGACGACCAGCCACACUGGGACUGAGACACGGCCCAGACUCCUACGGGAGGCAGCAGUGGGGAAUUUUGGACAAUGGGCGAAAGCCUGAUCCAGCAAUGCCGCGUGUGUGAAGAAGGCCUUCGGGGUUGUAAAGCACUUUUGUCCCGGAAAGAAAAACGCCGUGG